UUAGUCAAUCAUACAGUGGAAAGAGGGUGGCAUUCACCUCUCUGGGACAAAGGCUGUGACUCUGGGAAAGACAAGAGAAGGGCAGGACCCAAACAGGAAGAGAGACAGCUGCUUUCAUAGCUUCCACAUGUGAGUGGGGUCAGCAGGGAAAGGAGCUGCAAGAAGAGGCCACACGAACGGCAGGCAUCUGUGGCCCUUCCAGACCUUUGAGUCAUCCUAUCACAGGAGAUUGGGAAGGAGCUGACAGACCAGCCCAGGCAGAGGAAGCCUCUGUGUUGAACAGUAAAGGUGCUUGCCUGCAGCCUGGUGUCAACCAGGCAGUCCCGGGGCCAGGGAAGGGGUGGGGAAGGGGCCUCCGAGACAAGCACAGCCAUCUAGAGCUGCACACCCCACAGACAACAAGCCUAAGCCCCAAGGAGAUCAUGGAAUAUAUCGAGAAGCCUAAGGAAUGUGCUUGGCCUGGACUACAGGUAGAUAGAACCAAGGCGGCUGACGACUGUGCCAAAACGACACCCCCAUCUGUCUAUCCAUUGGCCCCUGGAUCUGCUGUCCAAACUAACUCCAUGGUGACCCUGGGAUGCCUGGUCAAGGGCUAUUUCCCUGAGCCAGUGACCGUGACCUGGAACUCUGGAUCCCUGUCCAGCGGUGUACACACCUUCCCAGCUGUCCUGCAGUCUGACCUCUACACUCUGAGCAGCUCAGUGACUGUCCCCUCCAGCACCUGGCCCAGCCAGCCAGUCACCUGCAACGUUGCCCACCCGGCCAGCAGCACCAAGGUGGACAAGAAAAUUGUGCCCAGGGAUUGCGGUUGUAAGCCUUGCAUAUGUACAGUCCCAGAAGUAUCAUCCGUCUUCAUCUUCCCCCCAAAGCCCAAGGAUGUGCUCACCAUCACUCUGACUCCUAAGGUCACGUGUGUUGUGGUGGACAUCGGCCAGGACGAUCCCGAGGUCCAGUUCAGCUGGUUUGUAGAUGGUGUGGAGGUGCAUACAGCUCAAACGCAACCCCGGGAGGAGCAGUUCAACAGCACUUUCCGCUCAGUCAGUGAACUUCCCAUCAUGCACCAGGACUGGCUCAAUGGCAAGGAGUUCAAAUGCAGGGUCAACAGUGCAGCUUUCCCUACCCCCAUCGAGAAAACCAUCUCCAAGACCAAAGGCAGACCGAAGGUUCCACAGGUAUACACCAUUCCACCUCCCAAGGAGCAGAUGACCAAGAAUGAAGUCAGUCUGACCUGCAUGAUAAUGAACUUCUUCCCAGAAGACAUUACUGUGGAGUGGCAGUGGAAUGGGCAGCCAGCGGAGAACUACAAGAACACUCAGCCCGUCCUGGACACAGAUGGUUCUUACUUCCUCUACAGCAAGCUCAAUGUGCAGAAGAGCAAUUGGGAGGCAGGAAACACUUUCACCUGCUCUGUGUUACAUGAGGGCCUGCACAACCACCAUACCGAGAAGAACCUCUCCCACUCUCCUGGGCUAGACCUGGACGAUUUCUGUGCUGAGGCCCAGGAUGGGGAGCUGGACGGGCUCUGGACGACCAUCACCAUCUUCAUCAGCCUCUUCCUGCUCAGUGUGUGCUACAGUGCUGCUGUCACACUCUUCAAGGUAAAGUGGAUCUUCUCCUCGGUGGUGGAGCUGAAGCAGACACUGGUUCCUGAAUACAAGAACAUGAUUGGACAAGCGCCCUAGGCCACCUCCUGUAAUGGCAGGGGAUUUUCCAGGCUCCAAAGGACUCUGUCCAGUAUGCCAAGCAGCACGACUGAAAUCGCACUGUCUGCUCACUUCACUACCCUCUGACCCCGAGACUCAGCUACUCUCAUGUCUUCCCCUCUCUGAAGGACCAUGUGGACAUUACAUUGCUACAGGCCACAACCACCAGGACCUAAAACACCAUCACAGAAGCACCAAAGACACUGGAUAGACCCACAAGGGCCAUAGUUUCCUCCACAGUAUAUCCAAUCUGUUGGGACAAAAGAGCAAUCACUGAAGAAGUGACAAGUGCCCACAAUAUCAAUGUACAGCUGAGAAGGGACAAAACAUGGUGCCAGCCCUGUCCAUACCACCUUCUAAUUCACAGGAAUACAUGAUAGAAAAGGCAGGUUUGAGAUCCGCAAAAUGAGACAGAUUUUAUCCACGUCAGAAAGAGUUGGGCCCAGCUGAAGCUAACUGAAUAAUUCCAGCGACCUUGGCAUUACCGUGUCCUGCCAGGUUCCUUCUUACCACUUUGAGGAACCCUAGGAUAUGGAAAAGGCCUGUGUUUCUCGGGGUUUGGGGACAGAACCAUCCAUGUUGGGAUUCUUGUAUAGAUCCUUCUUCUGGUCACAGAUUCAAUACACUGGAUUUUCAGGCAAAGGAGCAAAUUCACAGACAGCUCUGGCCCUGCAGGCCUAAGACCUAGACACCACCAUCUCUUUGGAAUUAUCAAAUCUAACACCGGGGACACAACAAAGAAGGACUGGAGCUUCACGGCCUUUGUGUAGCCCUAGAGGGGACAGAGGCCACUGAGCAGGGGUUGGGUGACCAGCAAGGACCUCCUGGAGAGGGACCUGAGGAGCAGGUUCCAGUUAGGCCAAAGGAAGAAGAAGAAGAGAGGUGAAGAACGCUGGAAAGAGUCAUGGUGCAGCAGUCUCGUCCUUCAGACCUGACUCUUACAGCCCAGGACUCUUAUAGUAGCUAGCUGGAGCAGAAGUCCAAGGAAUUGCCAUGCCCUGGAGCCACAGGCUACCGGAGGGUGGAGUGAGUCUACUACACCGGUCCAAUGCCUAGUUCUCCAUCGCUUCUCAGCCAAUGAGAAAUCAGAGUCUCCAAACAGGAAGAAAAAGGAAGGUGGGAAUGAAAAGUGAGCACCUGCCUUCCUGUGACUGGCAGGAAGUUCUCCAAAGACUCAAGGCUUUGACUUCAAACUUCCUGGAGAUCCCUGAUGUCUUUAAGGACUCUGUCUGCUUUGUUGGUUUUCUUUGUUUGUUUUGUACUUUGUCAAUAAAACAUUUUUCAAAU